AACGAACGCUGGCGGCAGGCCUAACACAUGCAAGUCGAGCGAGGACUUCGGUCCUAGCGGCGGACGGGUGAGUAACGCGUGGGAACGUGCCCUUUGGUUCGGAAUAGCCCCGGGAAACUGGGAGUAAUACCGGAUGAGCUCUUCGGAGGAAAGAUUUAUCGCCAAAGGAUCGGCCCGCGUUGGAUUAGGUAGUUGGUGGGGUAAUGGCCUACCAAGCCGACGAUCCAUAGCUGGUUUGAGAGGAUGAUCAGCCACACUGGGACUGAGACACGGCCCAGACUCCUACGGGAGGCAGCAGUGGGGAAUCUUAGACAAUGGGGGAAACCCUGAUCUAGCCAUGCCGCGUGAUCGAUGAAGGCCUUAGGGUUGUAAAGAUCUUUCAGGUGGGAAGAUAAUGACUGUACCACCAGAAGAAGCCCCGGCUAACUCCGUG
rnacentral:rRNA from 1 species